rnacentral:snoRNA from 1 species
AAGACUAUACUUUCAGGGAUCAUUCUAUAGUGCUGUACUUGAGAAAUGUGUGUCUAAAGUGGUAGAUCUCGCUACCAUGAUGACGAUUAAAGAAUAUCCCGUUCAGAGCAUGAAUCGGGUGGUUAGAAGUGAUUUGCUCAUUUUCUUCCACCUUUGAUGACUGUUCCUUGUUCUUCAAUGAACGUGGAUGAAGGGAAUAGUUCUGAGUGGA